UUUACGCUCCACCCGUUGUGGUGCUCCCCCGCCAAUUCCUUUAAAUAUCAGCCUUGCGGCCGUACUUCCCAGGUGGCUCGCUUCACGGCUUCCCUACGGCACCGACAACGGUCGCACCGUGGCCGACACCUAGCGAGUAUCGUUUACGGCUAGGACUACCCGGGUAUCUAAUCCGGUUCGUGCCCCUAGCUUUCGUCCCUUGCCGUCAGGUCCGUUCUGGUGAGACGCCUUCGCCACUGGUGGUCCUUCAAGGAUUACAAGAUUUCACCCCUACCCCUGAAGUACCUCUCACCUCUCCCGGCCUCGAGCCAGACAGUAUCUCCUGAAAGCCUGACAGUUAAGCUGCCAGAUUUCUCAAGAGACUUAUCCGGCCGGCUACAGACCCUUUAGACCCAAUAAUAACGGUUACCACUCGAGCCGCCGGUGUUACCGCGGCGGCUGGCACCGGUCUUGCCCGGCCCUUGCUAUGAAAUGCUUUUUAGGCAUCUCGACAGCCAGAUUUGUAACCUGGCACUCGAGGUUCCCUUAUCGCUGUUGCCAGCAUUGUAAAGUUUUCGCGCCUGCUGCACCCCGUAGGGCCUGGAUUCGUGUCUCAGAAUCCAUCUCCGGGCUCUUGCUCUCACAACCCGUACCCGUCGUAGGCUAGUAGGUACGCUACACCCACUACUACCUGAUAGGCCGCAGACCCAUCCUUAGGCGCCGGAGCUUUAAAUCUCGAUGCAUUCCAGCAAUCGAGACCUAUCGGGUAUUAUACCCAGUUUC
rnacentral:rRNA from 1 species